GCUGGACCUCGCCGAGCGGCGCCGCAUUCGCUCGGCCAUCAGGGAGCUGCGGCGCCAGGAGCUGGAGCGGGACGAGGAGGCGCUGGCGUCCAAGCGCUUCCGCUCGGAGCGCGGCAGCCACAGGCAGGACAACAAGGAGAACUGGCUGCGGUCCCAGCAGCUAGAGGAGGAGCAGCAGAAGGCCCUGGCCUCGUUGUCCCAGAAACUCGAAUCGAUCACGGAUGUGGAGGAGCUGACAAAACUGCUGCGGGGGGCCAGCGAGUACGAGGAGCGCAAGCUGAUCCGCGCUGCCAUCCGCAAGCUGCGGGCUGAGGAGAUCGAAGGUAAGGCGCCGUCCCCGUAUCCCAGCCGCGCUGAGCUGCUGCUACCCCAGAGAUGCUGGGACAUGGCCAGCUCCUUGCUAACCGCCUUCGUUUGCUUCCAUCCAGCUGCAACCCUGGCUGGGAAUGUGCAGAGCAGCCGGAGGGAUGACGCUGAGCCACCAACGCUGCCUGGGAGAGUGGAGAGCGGCCAGAGGGGUGAGAGUGUGCAACCAGCCCUGCCUAGGAGCCGGGAGAGCAGCCAGAGAGAUGAUGCCGAGCCCGGGGCAGCUCGAGGCAGGAACAUGGAGAGCAGCCAGAGAGGCAACACUGAGCCACUGACUGUGACCGGGAGUGUGGAGAGCAGCCGGAGGGGUGAUGAUGAGCCGCCAACCCUGGCUGGGAGCAUGGAGAGCAGCCACAGGGGUGAUGCUGAACCACUGGCUGCUAAGGAGCCUGAGCCGACUGAAGCUGAACGCUCCGCGGCCCAUGAGCAAGGCAAUGUGGUGGAGCAGGAGCACAUCCGGACUGAGAUCCAGGAGCUACGCAGCGAGCAGCAGAGAGCGCCUGAAAAACCCAAUGCCCAGGAUGCAGCCUCGGGGACCCUUGCGCUCCUGGAUCUGCACCAGGCCCCAGAGUCCUGUCCAGCCCCCGAGCCAGAGCCCAAAGAGCACGCCGAGGAGCUGGAGCAGGGCCAGCCACGCUCCGAGCUUGCUGCUCAGGCUGAGUUGCAGUAUCGAGCCUCCUGGAAGGAAAAGAGCCCAGAGAGCCCCUCUGCCACGCGAGAGCCCGGAGCGGAGCAGUUGGAGACAUCCCGCAGCGUGGGGGGAAGCUGCCGGGUAGAGCAGGCUCUUCCGCAACAGCCCUGUGCCGUUAGCCAGGGCAGCCAGUUUGUUGUCUGCGUGAGGGGCCAGGCGCCAGAGAAGACGGGAAAUCCUCCGGUGGAGAAGCAAGCAGCGCCUGCCCAGCGCGGAGCAGGGAGCCCGGCUCGCCUGGACACUCACCGCUGGGAGCAAGCGCCUUCCUCCCUGCGCCCGGCCGGCCGCGCAGAGCCGUGCCCCGACGGGCCCUUCCAGCGUGCCGCCUCGGUGCGGGAGCGCGCCCGCAGGUUCACCGCGGA
ensembl:lncRNA